UACAGAGGGGGCGAGCGUUGUUCGGAAUUACUGGGCGUAAAGGGCGCGUAGGCGGCCAACUAAGUCGGACGUGAAAUCCCCAGGCUCAACUUGGGAACUGCGUCCGAUACUGGAUGGCUUGAAUCCGGGAGAGGGAUGCGGAAUUCUAGGUGUAGCGGUGAAAUGCGUAGAUAUCUGGAGGAACACCGGUGGCGAAGGCGGCAUCCUGGACCGGUAUUGACGCUGAGGCGCGAAAGCCAGGGGAGCGAAACGG
rnacentral:rRNA from 1 species